GUGCAGAGAGAGUUAGAUUUGGGUGGGGUGUGUUCAAACUGAAAUCUAAAUUGCAGUGUAAAAAUAAAGCAGCCAGUAUUUACCCUGCACAAUCAGAUUUGAAUUACCCCCUGUGUUCCUUGGCCUCACCACUCCUGGAAAAUGACCACCCCAAUUUUUCGGAACGCUGGCUACCCCUGCCCCCAUCCCUCACCAUGAAUGCCUUUGCCUGUCAAUCAGGCAGAGGCAUUCGCAUUCCUGCACUGAGAUCGCAGGACCUGUUCUGCACAUGCGCUCCCGCAGGACCUGACCAUCGGGGUAAAUGCAGUAAGGAUUGCAACAGCGAUCCUUACUGAAUCACCCCCAUAGUCCAGAAAAUGAUGAGACUGUGUUAUUACUAGUGGUCUGAGAAAGGAAGCAGUACCACCACACCACACGUUAGUGAGCAGGGUAUACAUAGUAAUAAUAUUAGUAGAACACUAAUUUGCUCUUCUUGCUAUUUAAGUACGUGCACUCCUGAAAUAACUGUGUGAUUAAACUGCAGGAGUUUACAGAAAUUGAAGAGAAAUAUACCAAACGAAGGCUACAUUAGAGAGAAAUUAAUGAAUUAAUAAAAAAUGCAUAUUAGUAUAAUAAAAAUAACUCUUGAAAUUCAAGCUAUAUGUGGUUCAAACAAGGUUUAAAGAACAAUUUCACCCAAAUGAAAACAAAAAAAAUACUUAUCUCAAGUUCAACAGGUUUGCGUCUUGGUAACAUCAGACCUAGGGUAAAUAUACAAUUUGGAAAGUUAAGAGUUCUUUCCCUUUCCACUUUUUUGUACACUAAACAUUUAACUCUCUGGGGAGCACCUCCACCUCUACCCAGGGCCGGCAACAGAAAUCUUGGGUCCCGGUACAAUAAUAUCUUUGGGCCCCUCUGGGCCGCGGUCCACCGCUAGCAACACCUAGUAUUUUAGCUGACGCUAUCACAACCAGACUUCCUCCCAUCCCCCGGACAGUCGGCCUCCGCUACCACACACAUAGAGAUUCACCUGAACAACUGCCCAUACACAUUUUCUUAUACACAAAUACACCAAUACACAGAGAUACACCAACAUACACAUAGAGAUUCACCAAAAUACAUAUAUACCAAUAUACAUAUACACAUAGAGAUACACCAGUAUACAAAGACACAUACAGAUACACCAUAUUACAGAUACACCAUUAUACAUACAAAUACCCCAAUAUACAUAUACACAUACAAAGAGAAACACCAAUUCACGUGAACAGUGCAAUGUUUCAUAGGUCUUCAUGUGUAGCCCUAUGGGACAAAUCACACAAAUCGUACAGGCUGCUGUACUACAAUAGUCAGGGAGCAGGACAGUCGGGAAGAGAGUGCUGCAGGAAGCUGUAUUGGACUAUCUGCUGCUGCUACCACCGUCCUGAACCUCGGCCGCCGCAACCACAACCAGACCUCCCCCACCUCUCCUCCUAGGGAGCAACUCACCCUCUAUUCUUCAGUCCACUGGCUGCAGCAUCCUUCUUGGUUCUGGUCGGCUCCUCUCCCUGAGCGUGUGGCUGUGACACGUCACACGCAGGCAGUGCUCCAUAACACAGUGAAGAGCAGAAGAAGGUGACAGACAGAGCGGCACCCGGCAGCUAUCCGGAAUCAAAGCGCUGACAGUCUGCCAGGGCUUGCCCCUUUUACUGAACAGCGUGAACGGAAAGACCGCCUCCCCAUGUUGGAACUCCGGAUUGCCAUGGAACGUCAGAAACAAGAACUUGUAUCCACCUAAAUUCCUAGUGCGUCUGAGAUUAUGCCACAGACGAUAUAUCGUCCACAGAAGAGGGUUAUCUUUCAAUUCUUGGUCGUAUUCCGCUUCCACUCCGUGAAGGAAAGAUAUCAGGUUUCUGGACCCCACAAAUUGUGCUUCCAGCUGUGUAUUAGCAUAAGUAUCACUAUUAUGUAACCAGUCUCUUAAAAAUCUCAAUAAAGAAGCAUGGUUGUAAA